CGGGAAUGAAUUCUCCUACAAGGUCAUUUACUCGGGCACGACUUCCGCAUCCUGGAGGGAAAUCUCUACGAGUCAAGGAGCACUUCUCAGGGCGAGAAUCUCUAGUCAUAUUCUUCAUCAAAAUACUGCUCUUAGAGCCAUCGAAAGGUGAUUGCCCCUGCAAAGCACAUUUUUUCUCAUUUCCACGCCAUAUGACAUCAUGUGCAUUCAUAGAGCUCUCGACCGAAUCAUUGGCAGAUUUAUCAGGGAUAAAUUCCCCUUCUUCUAUGCUUUCUGUCUCGAUUUUGUCCUUCCCGUUCUCCAUCAUACCAGAAUGGUCUUGCUUCAAAUUGGUUGUCGUGGAAGGAAAUAGUGCUUGUUGAUGCUGUGCAAGGCUAUGAAGAGGGGCGUGACUUCUGCAUCCUGCAGAACCUGAUCGAGACUGCAAAAUAUGUGUGUAACCGGAAGAAGAUCCUGAAGUUGGAAAAACAGUUCUGACAGCAGGAACAUUCCUAGGCAGGGCCUCCAUUGACAGCUCCACCGUCUUGUGAUUCAAUCUUCUCUUUAGGUUCCCCCAUAAGCUCUGCCGCUGGUGAAUUCCACUAGAAUGCUGUUGAAAAACAUAAUGAACAGAAUAAAUCACCAUAAUAGCACUUGUUUGUAAUUCUUAAGGUUAUCACCAAACUUGCGUAUCUCUUUUUAGAAUAGUGUCUGGAUUUUGUUGCCAAAAUAGCCAUAUUCAAACUUUGUAACAAACGAAAUGAUAGAUGGUAUCUUGGAUAGAUGAUAACCUGGCAAAACAAAUUACAUA